AUGAUACCUGUAGAUGGGUUUGGUCAUCGAACCAAGCAAGUCAUACAUGGUGACAGUCAAGGUUGCUGAUAGGCAGUCUUAUGUUCACUAUGAUAUUGUGCAUUACCUUUGCAUGAUAUUAUAGUGAUUGACAGCUAUACACCUUUAAUCAGUCAACUUACCAUGGGAUGGAAUUGCACUGUCUGCAAUAAUUUUCUUUCAGCAGGUUGAAGUAAUCUUCGGCUGAGAAGACAUGUUACUGGUGUGAUACUUUUUCAGUGAGCUAAGCUGUGCUCAUGGGCAUCCUUGGUCUGUCCUCAUUUAUUGAACAAAGGGCUAAAGUAUUCUUUCAACAAGAGCAUGUAGCGAGCUGCUUUUUGGUUAUUGAUGGAAAUAAUGUUGCUCACCACCUUUUUACAAAUAGGGGCACCUGUGUGGGCUCAGGUACAGACUAUCUUCAGUAUGCCAAUCAAGUGGAGCUUUUCUUCUCAGACUUGAAAAGUUGCAAUAUCAUCCCAGUGGUCCUUCUGGAUGGUGGAAGGGAUAGAAAUGAUGCAAAACUUCCAAAGCAAGUCAGUCGCCUUAAAGAAAAGGUCUGCACAUCUGUGCGUGCUUCAGCAUCCAAGCAUCAUCAAGAACAUGUGUUCCCUCCAUUGGCCAGGACAGUAUUUAUUGAGGCAGUGCGUGGCCUGGGCGUGGCACUGGUGCAGUGCCCCCGCGAGGCCGAUGGCCCCGCCGC
rnacentral:lncRNA from 1 species